CAGGGCCUAAGGCCUCCAGUCUUGGAGGGGCGGCGCUCACCAAGUCCACUGCUGGGCCUGGACCAGGGGGUGUGCUGUCGGGUACUGGGGGGUGCUGGCCGAGCUGUACUGGGCGUUGUAUUGCAUGUGCUGCAGCGACUGCGCGCUGUAGGCGGAAAAGGGGAUGCCUGCCUGGAAGGUGGCAGCUGCCAGGUCCUGGGCUUUGAGCGCGUGGCACGGUUUGCCGUCCCUGACCAAGACCGGCACUGCCACACGGCGCGGCGAGGGUAGAGGCGUCACCUCCAUACCUUUCUCAGCCCGGGCACGUUUCAUCUUGUAGCGAUGGUUUUGGAACCAGAUCUUGACCUGCGUGGGCGUGAGACGGAUGAGGCUGGCCAGGUGCUCGCGCUCGGGCGCCGACAGGUACCGCUGCUGCCGGAAGCGCC
rnacentral:lncRNA from 1 species